rnacentral:rRNA from 1 species
GUGAAACCGCAAAAGGCUCAGUAAACCAGUUAUGAUUUACUCGAGUAAACAAAUACUGUUUUUGGAUAACUGUGGUAAUCCUAGAGCUAAUACAUGCAAUCAAGUCCCGACCAGUUCACACUGGAAGGGACGCUUUUAUUAGAUCAAGACCAAUCGCUCGGUUCUCAAUCGAGCGUUACCUUGGUGACUCUAGGUAACACAUCAGAUCGCAUGGUCUCGCACCGGCGACUUAUCUUUCAAAUGCCUGACUUAUCAACUUACGAUGGUAGACUCUAUGUCUACCAUGGUUGUAACGGGUAACGGGGAAUCAGGGUUCGAUUCCGGAGAGGGAGCCUGAGAAACGGCUACCACAUCCAAGGAAGGCAGCAGGCACGCAAAUUACCCACUCCCGGCACGGGGAGGUAGUGACAAAAAAUAACGAUACGGGACUCUAUUGAGGCCCCGUAAUCGGAAUGAGUACACUUUAAAUCCUUUAACAAGGAUCCAUUGGAGGGCAAGUCUGGUGCCAGCAGCCGCGGUAAUUCCAGCUUCAAUAGCGUAUAUUAAAGUUGUUGCGGUUAAAAAGCUCGUAGUUGGUUCUGCGUGCUACGCUGUCGGUUCGCCGCUUGCUGGUGUAACUGGCAUGCCGUGGCAUGUCCUGUCGGUGGCCUGCAAGCACCUAUCCAUUCGAAGACCCGAUUCGUCGGUGUCCUAGGGUGGUAGGACCGUUUGUAAGCCUAUUUUAUCCUACCUAGGUGCUCUUCACCGAGUGUCGAGGUAGGCCGACACGUUUACUUUGAACAAAUUAGAGUGCUCAAAGCAGGCUGAAAUUUCUGCCUGAAUAGUGGUGCAUGGAAUAAUAAAACAGGACCUUGGUUCUAUUUUGUUGGUUCUUAGGAACACAAGGUAAUGAUCAAUACGGACAGGCGGGGGCAUUCGUAUUGCGACGUUAGAGGUGAAAUUCUUGGAUCGUCGCAAGACGCACAAGAGCGAAAGCAUUUGCCAAGUAUGAUACUAGGUUGAUCAUGACAUAAACGAUGCCAGCCAGCGAUCCGCCGACGUUCCUCCGAUGACUCGGCGGGGAGCUUUUUCCCGGGAAACCAAAGCUUUUGGGUUCCGGGGGAAGUAUGGUUGCAAAGCUGAAACUUAAAGGAAUUGACGGAAGGGCACCACAAGGAGUGGAGCCUGCGGCUUAAUUUGACUCAACACGGGAAACCUCACCAGGCCAGGACAUUGGAAGGAUUGACAGAUUGAUAGCUCUUUCUUGAUUCAGUGGGUAGUGGUGCAUGGCCGUUCUUAGUUGGUGAAUCGAUUUGUCUGGUUAAUUCCGAUAACGAACGAGACUCUAGCCUAUUAACUAGGCGUUUUCCGGUGUCCACGCCACCGGCGACAUUCAUUCUUCUUAAGGGGACAGGCGGCUUGUAGCCGCACGAGAUUGAGCAAUAACAGGUCUGUGAUGCCCUUAGAUGUCCUGGGCCGCACGCGCGCUACACUGAAGGAAUCAGCGUGUGUCUCCCUGGCCGAAAGGCCCGGGUAAUCCACUGAACCUCCUGCGUGCUAGGAAUUGGGGCUUGCAAUUGUUCUCCAUGAACGAGGAAUUCCCAGUAAGCGCGAGUCAUAAGCUAGCGUUGAUUACGUCCCUGCCCUUUGUACACACCGCCCGUCGCUACUACCGAUUGAAUGAUUUAGUGAGGUCUUCGGACUGGCGAUAAUCCCUACCGACGUCAGUUGGUUUCGAUGAACGCUGGAAAGAUGACCGAACUUGAUUAUUAGAGGAAGUAAAAGUCGUAACAAGGUUUCCGUAGGUGAA